rnacentral:rRNA from 1 species
UACGAAGGGGGCGAGCGUUUGUUCGGAAUUACUGGGCGUAAAGGGCGCGCAGGCGGCCCUUGAAGUCAGGCGUGAAAGCCCCCGGGCUCAACCUGGGAGGUGCGCUUGAUACUCGAGGGCUUGAGUGCGGGAGAGGAGAGUGGAAUUCCCAGUGUAGAGGUGAAAUUCGUAGAUAAUUGGGAAGAACACCGGUGGCGAAGGCGGCGACCUGGUCCGAUACUGACGCUGAGGCGCGAAAGCGUGGGGAGCAAACAGG